rnacentral:rRNA from 1 species
UCAGCAGCCGCGGUAAUACGUAGGGGGCAAGCGUUGUCCGGAAUCACUGGGCGUAAAGCGCGUGUAGGCGGCCAGGUAAGUCAGAGGUGAAAACCGCGGCUCAAACCGCAGGCUUGCCUUUGAAACUACUUGGCUUGAGGUCAGAAGAGGAGAGUGGAAUUCCCAGUGUAGCGGUGAAAUGCGUAGAUAUUGGGAGGAACACCAGUGGCGAAGGCGGCUCUCUGGUCUGCACCUGACGCUGAGGCGCGAAAGCGUGGGUAGCAAACAGGAUUAGAUACCCUGGUAGUCCACGCCGUAAACGAUGGUGCUAGGUGUCUGGGGUAUGAACCCMUCAGGUGCYCVVMUAACGCGAUA